UCCGUAGGUGGAUAAUUAAGUCAGAGGUGAAAUCCUGCAGCUCAACUGUAGAAUUGCCUUUGAUACUGGUUAUCUUGAGUCAUUAUGAAGUGGUUAGAAUGUGUAGUGUAGCGGUGAAAUGCAUAGAUAUUACACAGAAUACCGAUUGCGAAGGCAGAUCACUAAUAAUGUACUGACACUGAUGGACGAAAGCGUGGGGAGCGAACA
rnacentral:rRNA from 1 species